UGGGGAAUCUUGGACAAUGGGCGCAAGCCUGAUCCAGCCAUGCCGCGUGAGUGAUGAAGGCCCUAGGGUCGUAAAGCUCUUUCGCCAGGGAUGAUAAUGACAGUACCUGGUAAAGAAACCCCGGCUAACUCCGUGCCAGCAGCCGCGGUAAUACGGAGGGGGUUAGCGUUGUUCGGAAUUACUGGGCGUAAAGCGCACGUAGGCGGAUCGGAAAGUUGGGGGUGAAAUCCCGGGGCUCAACCCCGGAACUGCCUCCAAAACUAUCGGUCUAGAGUUCGAGAGAGGUGAGUGGAAUUCCGAGUGUAGAGGUGAAAUUCGUAGAUAUUCGGAGGAACACCAGUGGCGAAGGCGGCUCACUGGCUCGAUACUGACGCUGAGGUGCGAAAGUGUGGGGAGCAAACA
rnacentral:rRNA from 1 species